rnacentral:rRNA from 1 species
GAAUAUUGGGCAAUGGCCGAGAGGCUGACCCAGCCAUGCCGCGUGCAGGAAGAAGGCCUUCUGGGUUGUAAACUGCUUUUAUACGGGAAGAAAACGCCCCUGCGGGGGUAACUGACGGUACCGUAUGAAUAAGCACCGGCUAACUCAGUGCCAGCCGCCACGGUAAUACGGAGGGUGCAAGCGUGGUCCGGAUUUAUUGGGUUUAAAGGGUGCGUAGGCGGCCCGUUAAGUCAGCGGUGAAAUCCCACGGCUCAACAGUGGAACUGCCGUUGAUACUGGCGGGCUUGAGUUCGGUCGAGGCGGGCGGAACUGGCGGUGUAGCGGUGAAAUGCUUAGAUACCGCCAAGAACCCCGAUUGCGUAGGCAGCUCGCUGGGCGGAAACUGACGCUGAGGCACGAAAGCGUGGGGAGCGAACAGG